UAGGGAAUCUUCGGCAAUGGACGGAAGUCUGACCGAGCAACGCCGCGUGAGUGAAGAAGGUUUUCGGAUCGUAAAGCUCUGUUGUAAGAGAAGAACGAGUGUGAGAGUGGAAAGUUCACACUGUGACGGUAUCUUACCAGAAAGGGACGGCUAACUACGUGCCAGCAGCCGCGGUAAUACGUAGGUCCCGAGCGUUGUCCGGAUUUAUUGGGCGUAAAGCGAGCGCAGGCGGUUAGAUAAGUCUGAAGUUAAAGGCUGUGGCUUAACCAUAGUACGCUUUGGAAACUGUUUACCUUGAGUGCAAGAGGGGAGAGUGGAAUUCCAUGUGUAGCGGUGAAAUGCGUAGAUAUAUGGAGGAACACCGGUGGCGAAAGCGGCUCUCUGGCUUGUAACUGACGCUGAGGCUCGAAAGCGUGGGGAGCAAACAGGAUUAGAUACCCUGGUAGUCCACGCCGUAAACGAUGAGUGCUAGGUGUUAGACCCUUUCCGGGGUUUAGUGCCGCAGCUAACGCAUUAAGCACUCCGCCUGGGGAGUACGACCGCAAGGUUG
rnacentral:rRNA from 1 species